rnacentral:rRNA from 1 species
CUCGUAGGCGGUCCAUCACGUCGGGAGUGAAAAGCUGGGGCUUAACCCCAGUCCUGCUUCCGAUACGGGUGGACUAGAGGUAUGCAGGGGAGAACGGAAUUCCUGGUGUAGCGGUGAAAUGCGCAGAUAUCAGGAGGAACACCGGUGGCGAAGGCGGUUCUCUGGGCAUUACCUGACGCUGAGGAGCGAAAGCAUGGGGAGGCAAACA